CAUGUAUCCAAUCUAAAAGUUCUAAAUUGUGUCUCGAUGCUAUUUCAAGGUGCGCUUUACUCGCAUUAUUUAGAGCGCCUCGGCUCUGUACAAACCGCACCCGUCUCUUUCUUUUUUUCUGGGUCAUUUUCUCUCUUUACCCGCCAUUUCUCUCUCUGGGCUGUACAAAGGGAAAUACAUUUUAGAGUGUAGAUAGAUAAUUUAGAGAGAGAAAGAAGUGAAUGAGUUGAAAAAGAUGGAGUGUAGUUUGAGCGGGAACGCCCUCAAGACCUUCGCCCGCUCCAUUACAUGUCUCGCUCGCAUUGGCAGCGAGCUCAUCAUCAAAGUCUCUCCUUCUCUGCUCUCUUUAUACACUCUCAAUUCUUCUCGGUCGGCCUAUCUGACUAUGAUUUACAAGGCUGAGUUUUUUGACACAUACACACUCUCCGCAGCCCAAGCACAAUGCAGUGUCCUUUUAAAGACUGUGUGUACCAUUUUAAGGACACCGCCUUCAAGUACAGAUCGGUUACAUAUGCUCUUGCCUGACUCAGAUGCAGAAAAAGUGCAGUUUAUCAUAGAUUGCAUGAAUGGUUUGAGGAAGACCUAUUGGAUUACUUGCAAUAUCCAACCAGAAAUUCAGCAUCUCUCUCUUGAUAAGUCGAAAUUUCCCAGUUAUUUUGUGAUUAAGCCUCGUGAUUUUAGCAGGUUGUUAGCUAAUUUUCAGGCAUCACUCCAGGAGAUAACAGUCAUUGCUACUGAAUCCACACCCUUAACUACUAAUGCUGAUAGCACCAUGGGAGGGAAAGCAGUUGAACUGAGAAGUUUUAUAGACCCCGCCAAAGAUAGCAGAGAUGCAGCUUUACAUACCCAGUUAUGGAUCAAUCCUGCCGAAGAAUUUCUGCUCUAUACUCACACUGGUGAUCCCGUAGAUGUAACAUUUAGCAUGAAAGAAUUGAAGGCCUUUCUUGCAUUAUGUGAGGGUUGUGAAGUUGACAUUCAUUUUCUCUUUGAGAAGGCUGGCGAGCCUAUUCUAAUGGCUCCAAAAUUUGGUCUAGAUGACGGGUCCAGUUCAGAUUUUGAUGCCACCCUAGUCUUGGCCACAAUGCUCGUAUCCCAGCUUAGAGAAGCAAACGGCUCAGAUCCAAUGCUGGCUUCAUCCAUGCGACCCAGCCGUCCAGAUCAUGAAUCAGAUUCCCAAGCUCAUAACAGGUUGCAUCCAUCCAGGCAGGAAUGGCCCAGAGCACCAACUCCAUCUCCUGUUUCUGAGAACCCUUCUGAUCAUACCCGAGUCUGGUCUGAACUUUCAGGAAGUGCCGCCAUUCCUACAAGCAGGAAUGACCAACAAGCUCCUUUGGAAGGUAAUGCUAAUGCAAGAGAAAAAAAUGCUUCAGGUAUACAGGUGCCUGAAAAAGCAAGAGCAGCCUCCAAGGGAUCACCUAUGAGGGAGAAUGUGCAUUCAGUUACCAUGAAUCAGUUUGCUACAAAUCAUUUGCUGGGAGUCCAAGAUAUAAUGCAGCCAAACAUCCAUGAAUCCCGACAUCAUCCCAGCAAUUGGGUGAGUGAUGCUGACGAUGAUGAGGAUGAUGGUGAAGAAGAGAUUUUUGUCCAAUCAACUCCGUAAUUUCUAACAAAUGGUGAAGUGUAAAGCGAUGAAAGCUCUUUAGGAGAACAUCAUGCAUCGUUGUUUAGGUUCAGGGGGAGGUAUCCACCUAUGCAGAAUGGUCCGAGUGUAAUGAGCCUAACAUACAUGCUCUUUCCUCUUUUGAUUCAUCAGUUCCACAUGACCAACCAUACAGGACACCCUUGAUGUAUCUGGUCCCUCAGGUUCUUCUUUGCCCAUCACCAAUGAUAGCUCUUCAACUUCUCUUAAAAAGGGACAUAUCACCACUGCAUCACCGAUCCAAAAUGUCCCCAGAAUAAUGCAACACACAACUAUGGUGAUAAAAAUGUUGCAGCUUAAGAAACCAAUCAAUCUAAUUUUUUACCAGUCUUUGAGCAUCAUUGUCAUCACAUGGUUACAAGAUCUCAAGAUAGUACUCGAAGACCUCGAAUUCUCCCAUCCAUGGCAGCAAUAUCAAGUGCUCCUAUUUUUUAACUUAUCCUUUUUUAAACUAAAACCAUUAAGUCUGCCUUAGGUUAUUCAGGUUUCUAAACCUAAAACCAUUAAGUCUGCCUUAGGUCAUUCGGAUUGGCAUCGUGUCAUGGAAGAGGAAAUUGAAACCCUAUAUGUUAAUUCAACUUGGGGAGCUAGUUCCACGUCUUCUAGGUAUGAAUGUUGUUGGUUGUCAUUGAGUCUAUAAGUCUAAAUUAAACUUUGAUGGAAGUCUAGAGAAACUUAAAGCCACACUAGUUGUUAAAGGAUACAAUCAGGUUGCUAGAAUUGAUUUCUCUGAAAUAUUCAAUCAUGUUAUUAAGCCUGCUAGUAUUCAAAUUGUGCUCACCAUAGCUAUUGUGUGCCACUGGCCUAUCAAACAACUUGAUGUGAAAAAUGCUUUCCUGCAUGGUUUUCUUAAGGAAAAUGUGUUUAUGGAACAAUUUCUUGGAUUUGGAAGCUCAAAAUGUCCCAAAUCAUGUCUACAUAUUAAAAAGAGCUUUAUAUGGUCUCAAACAAACGUAUCGAGAUGUUGAAAUUGUAUAUUGAAAUAUUGCCAUUGUAAAAGGUAACAAGAGAGGAAAAUGUAUAUGUACAUUACAUGUAACAAGAUAGGAAGGUGCACAUUCUAUCAUUGUAUUACUAUCAUAUAUACAAUGAAAGAACUACCACAAGAAAUCAAUGUAGGGCACAAUUAUCCUAUCAAAAGUUCCUCUCUCUAGAACUACCACAAGAAUCAAUGUGGGGCACAAUUAUCCUAUCAAAAGUUCCUCUUUCUCUAUAAUUCUUUAGCUGUUGUGUCAUAUUCCCUGCCGCACUUGAUGUCUCAAUAAUGCCUGUUCCGAGUUGCAGCCA